rnacentral:rRNA from 1 species
AUUGAACGCUGGCGGCAGGCCUAACACAUGCAAGUCGAACGAGUGGCGGACGGGUGAGUAAUGUCUGGGAAACUGCCUGAUGGAGGGGGAUAACUACUGGAAACGGUAGCUAAUACCGCAUACCAUCGGCUUUGCCCAGAUGGGGUUAGCUUGUUGGUGGGGUACCGGCUCACCAAGGCGACGAUGCCUAGCUGGUCUGAGAGGAUGACCAGCCACACUGGAAAUGGGACACGGUCCAGACUCCUACGGGAGGCAGAAGUGGGGAAGAUUGCACAAUGGGCGCAAGCCUGAUGCAGCCAUGCCGCGUGUAUGAAGAAGGCCUUCGGGUUGUAAAGUACUUUCAGCGGGGAGGCGUUACCCGCAGAAGAAGCACCGGCGAACUCCGUGCCAGCAGCCGCGGUAAUAC